rnacentral:lncRNA from 1 species
CCAGGGGGCGGUGUGCGCCCCCGGCGCUGGAGCAGCCGCGUUUCGGGGACCCGGGCAGGCGUGGGGGGCUGCGCUGAGCUCCAGGCCUCCUGCAGGUGCAAUAAGAAUCGUAUUACUAAUGUGGUGUCCUCUGGAAUGGUCACAUGAACACAGUUCCCUGCAGAUGUAAUUGGGAGAGAAGGCACAGUCCUGACACAGGGUAAGACUGUGGAGGUGUAUUGCUGUCCCUACCAGCUGUGCCUUAACUUCCUCGAAAGACAACAUCAGUGCUGGCGGGCCUCAAGAAGAGCCAUCCCAAGGUAUUGACUAGGCAUCAGCGUCUUCACCAGGGCAACACAGAACAUCCCUGCAGAGUUCCUGGUGGCUGCAGUGGCUGGUAGGGGAUGUAUGCCUGCUUUCCAUCAGAUUCCCAAAGCGGAGCCCCUGGAGGCUUUGGCCCAUGGCCCUGAAGCUCCCUUUCACAAGGAAGAAAGACUUUGCAAAGCCAACACCACUAUUGGAGAGAAAGUGGAGAAUGUGUAUUAGAAGUACUAGUCUUUGAAGGCAAAACAGCUGUAUAGAGUGAGCUUAAGUGCUGGAUCCCUGUGGUUAGGAAGGGACACUAAGCCUCCGGGAUGUGAGAGUCCCAUGGAAGGCAGUAGGCCCAGGAUAAAGCAGGUGUCAGCUCAGAAAGCCCACCAUCACCCAGAAAAGGGAAGAAAUACGCUACCACCAUCACUCUUUCUGCCAAUGACUUCUUUGCACACCUCCACCCUAUCUCCUGGCUCAGUCUCCCAUGUUCUCAUAGCUAGGGAGGUCUCCAUUGUAAUUUGUAUGGGGAGGUUAACCUAUAGGCCAUUCUGAUGAUCCCAGCUCCCUUUCACUACAACCCCCGUCUGCAUCCUUUGCUUUGCAGUAGGAUUUGAGAGAGGAAGGAUGAAGAUGUAGCCACAGGAUACAUUUAAACAGGCACAGAGUUUGAGGGGUGGGGGGGAACAAAAGCAAAACAAUAAAACCUUCACCAGUCAUUAAAGAAAUGAAAAUGAACCUUU